rnacentral:lncRNA from 1 species
CUCCCCUCAUUUGACACAACACUCAGAGAAACAUAGUCCAGGGCUCAAUCUGGCUUCCUGGGCAAUCUUACUCCGGUACUUGUCACCUGGUCCAUAACAUGAUCCCCCAAAUGGCAAGGGGUCCUUAAACACCUAUCGACACCCCGCACCAAAAUAAAAGUAUAUGUACCUACCUUUUCAAAGAAUGUGAAGGUAGAGAAAACAAGUGAAACAACAAAGAUGGAAAAAUAAAAUAUAAGAAUGAGACAGGCGGAGGACAUAUGCUAAACACAUAAAUUAGAAAGUAAGGUUGGCUGCCAGUCCUGCAUAUAUUGACUCUUGAGUUGCUCUCAGGACACAAUAAACUCACUCAAUAUAAAAGAUGCAAAUCUUUACUGAAAUUAUUACAUGAGAACAAUAAUAUGAAAUGUGUGUAAUGUAGAUGUGUACAGCUAGUGAAUACACAGAUAAUCCACAUAACUAUUUAUAAAAAAAAUAUAAACAUCAAUCAGAUUAUACACUACUAAAUAAGGAAAUUCACAUCUAAUGUACAACAUAUGGUUCUUAAGUAAAUCCAAGAAAAUACAAUUUGAAUAGGAGCAUAUACAGAGCAUAAAUCACACUGGAAAAUACAAUAUAUAAAUAAAUAAAUUCUAAAUAUAUAUCAUAAAGUAGAGAAAAAUUUAAAGAAAAAGAAUCACGCAGGGUCAAAAAAAUUCUUCUUUCCUCACAUUUCAGCAUGAAUGUCUUUUUCAAAAGAGGAUAGGAUUACGAUGGUUUAUACUGGAUUAAUAACACAGAUUAGAAAUAAAAAUCACAUUAGGUUGAUAGGUUGUCCACCAAAUAAGGAAUUCUUCUGGUUUCGCUUUCUUUGUUGUUUCGGAUACCAAACUCUCAAUUUGUCUUGUUUUCCUAUAGGCCAAUAUUGAUUUAUCUCCUCUCUGACUAUUGCAUUAUUGUAGCAUAUGUCAAUGUAUGUAAUUGAUAUGGUGUAUAUAGUUAAGAGCAUCGGAAGCAUACUAGUGAAACAUGGGGUCUAAUCUCAAUUACUGUGUCAAAGAAUUCCAAACAGGAGUCAAAAUAUCACCCAUAUUUUCCCAUUUGUACCUGUUUCACUGUAUACUUAUCCCAAGAUCAGGUUCUGGAUACACCCCUGGUUAAUCUACAGCACAGUUUUUCAAAAACAUGUUGUCCUUGACAUUAAUGAAUGCAUGUUAAAUAAAGACAAUGUGUAUGUUGAUUGUAUAUUUGUAAAUAUGCAUAUAAUGGUCUUUUAUUACUUAUAUAGCUUAAGUAUAUGACAUACUUGAAACUACUUUAUGAAGAGUGGCUUGAGUAUGCAAAGUAGGGGUGUUGGUAAAAAAGCCAAAUCUAUGCAUUUUGCAUUUAAGUGCAGAAUUUUGAUAGAUCCAAACUAUUUUGGGGUAAAAUCACUCUGGAUGUGGUCCUUCUGAAUCCACAAAUUUUUUACCCAGAAAAAUUGCUGCAUUUUACAGGAUCUGUGUUUUAAUUGAAAAUGUGUCCGAUCCAUACUUGUUUGGAGAAAUAACUGUCUCCUGAGCACAGGCUGAAUCCUGACUGCAGACUCGCUGAUCUAAACAUUCAAAUGAUCCAAGUAAACCUCCAGCCUGGGAUUGGAACUUGAAGAAGCCACAUUCGUAAUCGCAGCAACAAUAUGAUUACUACCUUCCAUAACCUUUCUUGGUGUCUCUUCCAGAUUACUUCAUCUGUUUACGGCCUUGAUUUAAUUUGUUUUUAUUUAUUAUAUUGGGGAAAAAAAUCAAAUAAUUUAUCUACAAAAAUUCCCAUAGAUUUUAUUGGUGAAUUCUGUAUAUAAAUUAAUUGAAAAGUUUUUUUUUUUUUGCUGUUUGUUUUUUUUUUUUUUUACAAGAAGAGAAUAAAUUCUGAUGCUGAAUCAAACAAAUUAAAUGUUAGCUAGAACAAUCCAACAGCAGAGCAGCCCAAACUUAAAAGACCCCACCUCCAUUUCCUCCAAAGAAAAAUGAACAACCAGCCAUAGUUAUCAAUGCAAUGUUUGCUUUUUUUUUUUUUAUCCACCAAAUUGCCGUGUCUUCUUAUUUUGGUGACUGAAUAAAGGGACAUAUUGAAUUGAUAAAUAUGGCUGGCUGUUCAUUUUAUGUUUGGAAGACAGGCAAAGACAGCUGUAGAUUGCAAACUGUUUUUUUUUUUUUUUUUUAGAAUUUAUACAGGAUAAAUUGUUUUUGCUGUAUAUACACAAUUUAGAGCAAUACAAAAGUGAGGGAGGUUCUGAAUUAUGCAAUAUUCUAAAAUGUAUUUUCAGUUGAGUGACGCAUUAUGGUCAAAUGAGCAUAAAAUGCAUUCCAUUAUUGCAGAUGAACAGAACAUCAGAGUGGCAUAAUGCAAUUUUACUAAACAACUCCUUGGUUCUAAACAGAACAAAUAAAACAACACAGAUUUUUCUUACCUUCGAAAGGCCCAUGGUACUAGCCUAUUUUUCAGCUACUAAUUUUCUGAUUUCGCUGUGAGUGAUACUUGCAGCCUGCAUUGCUAUGGACUAGAUUAACCACUCAUGGAUAUAGGAGACUUACAGUUACUUUAACUCCACUAACAGUUGUGAAACCCACCUCAUGCACAUUUGCUGCAUCCAUCCCUGGUUAAUCCCAGACUUUGAAAUAUUAGUGGCCGCACACUUUGGAAAUAAGAAUAUGAUUCUUUGCUACUAAAUGUCCUGGGUUGACAAUUUUGCUAUAUGCUUUCUAUAGAUUUGAAGGAUCACUGUGUAUUUAAGUGUAUUUUCUACUACUUUGUGCCAUUUAUACUGGCUUUUUACUGUUGUACUUCAACAACUGUUACAGGCUAUGGGUAAAAACAAAUCAAAAGCAAAGUUCUCCUUUGUGAAGAAUAGAAAUAUAGUGGAAUUGCUCAGGCAUUUUCAAUUUCAGAGGCCCAAAAGGGUAGCAACAAUGAGCUCACCGAGUUGUUGAAAGAUAGCAAUCUUAUCACCACAGAAAAACUCCAGGCAAAGAUGGAGAUUCAAUGCUUAUCUGGUACUGAUAUAGUAGUGCUAUGAGGUGACAAAGACAAUCUCUGGAGGUAUAAAGCAGGCAAUGUACUUAUCUCAAACACCACCAAGACCAAGUCUCACACCAAAUUGUAACUUGCCACAUGCACAUCACUAACCUCCAACUACAUGUUGGUAUAGUUAACAAUGCAAACAGACAAAGGAACAUUAAGGUGAGUGGUAGCUCACACUGUUACCAUGGAAUAACGUUCUUAAUUAUUCUAGAGAUUGUUCACCACCCUCUAGCUCCUAAACAAGGAAAAUGUAUUCAAUUAGAUGGAGUAUGCUCUUUUUAUUAAGUCAGCCAAGAUAGAGGUCAUAGUCUCAAGUUGGGAAAAAUCCUUAAGGACCAAACUUCUGGAAUAAAAGGGAAUCAUGAUAUGUCACACAUGUCAUGUGUCCUUAAGGGGUUAAACAUUUCAAUCUCACCACUUACAACUUUACUACAUCAUGGCACAAUCACUAUUGUGAGCUACAGAGAACCUGCUGAACAAUUGCUUUGCCUGUUUUUAGGUUUUUGUAUUUACUUUUUUCCCCUCAUUUCUUAGAUCUUUACAGGCUAUUAGCUUUUCCAAAUAUUUCUUGCUCCUUUGCUAUAGCAGUAAUUCUAACUCCCUCGUAUGGCCAAGGCAUAGAGGGCAUAUCAAUAACCAGACCUCCUAAUCUUAUUUAGGAAGUGCUGCUUCCUAGAGUUGUCCUGUGUUAUGUAAAUUAAGGUUAUAUUUCUUAAUAUUAUACCGGACCAUGCAGUAAUUGAUGAUAAGAGAGGCCUUAUAUAUCAUGGAGAUGGGCUUAGUAGCUCAGCCUUUAUACUGUUUACUAUGGUUAUUUAAAUUUAUAUACAUAUUAUGUAUAAUUAUAAAAUGUGCAAUACAUUGAUAAUGAUUAAUAUGUGUGUAUACACAUGUAUCUACAUUCCAAAAAUAGAAAGUUAAUAAAUAAAUCAACUGUUUUGAUAUAUUAAAUAACUAAAUCAGCUGUUUCGAUACAUGUACAGCAUACAUUUGCGAGCAAUCCUGUGAUUUCUUGAAACAUUCCAUUGACAUCAAUUCGCCAUUAAAAUAAAUAAAUGGGAUGAUGUAUAUCCCAGUUUCUCCAUCAUUGAUGUAAACUAUUUAUCUGAUUGUUUGAAAGCCAAACAGUGAGCGGUUGUAUCUGGGAGGGGUUAAUAGGAAAUUAACUUUUGUAUUCCUGCCAAGAUCUGUUGUCAGCUGAGUCUUUCAGUACACUCAGGAAAUGAUCUUAAAUUGCAUGGAGUAAAAUGUUAUAAUCUGAUUUCUGCUAAUAGCAGACAUGUCCAAACUCCAUACCGGAUUCAGUCUGCACUUCCAGAAAAUAAGUCAAUUGUUGCCCAUUAGCAGAGACAUGCACUUCUUAAGUCAUGUUGAAAAAGAAAAACAAAAAACGAUGCAAUAUCAAGCAGGACAAAGGGUUCACAAUUAUAAUUUAUGUCACAAGAAUUCCUUCCUGCUCAUAAUAUGAUGACAUUAACUUGUCAUUAUUUACCUACAAUGCAUUAUCAUAUUUUUGUUGUAAUAUUAAUGUGCUUAAUUGCAAUAAGCCCUACAAAUCCCAUUGUCCUGAGUUACAAGAAGCUGUCAGAUGAUUAUUUUUUAGCGGCUACAUAAUCCCUUCUUUGAUGUGCAGGUCAAUGGAACUCCAUUAGCUUGAGGCUUUAGUGCCUGGUAAUAAAAAAAAAAAAGAAAUUCUCUUUGCUUUUUCCUGCAAGGGGAAAUUGUACAAUUUAUGGCUCAGAUUGCAUGCAGACAGCCUACGCCCUGGAGAAAUUGAUGCUUUUCCCUAUUUUUUGUCUUUUUUUUUAAACUUGCUCUAUUUUGUAUAUGAAUUCAUAAAUUAUUAUUAUUGGUAUUUAUGUAGUGCCAACUAAUUCCGCAGCGCUUUACAAUAUUAUGAAAGGGGGGGAAUUUAUAAAUGAGAGAAUUACAGAGUGACACAGGAACAAUUGGUAGAUGAGGACCCUGCUAUAACGAGCUUACAGUCUAGAUGAUGUGGGGUACAAAUACACAACAGGGCAGCAAAGGUGACAGCCACCAAACAAGGUGGAAAAAUAGCAGAGCUGGAGGUGUGAGUGGAGUAUGAUGAGAGUCAGGAAGUAUUACUUUACUGAGAGGGUAGUGGAUGCAUGGAAUAGCCUUCCAGCUGAAGUGGUAGAGGUUAACACAGUAAAGGAGUUUAAGCAUGCGUGGGAUAGGCAUAAGGCUAUCCUAACUAUAAGAUAAGACUAGGGACUAAUGAAAGUAUUUAGAAAAUUGGGCAGACUAGAUGGGCCGAAUGGUUCUUAUCUGCAGUCACAUUCUAUGUUUCUAUGAUCAAGAGACAGAUUUGGAAAAGUAUAAAUAAGUUACUCUAGGACAUCUUAAAUAAUUGAAGAUUAGGGGAGAGUCUGAUGGGGAUAGGCAGGCUGUUCCAAAGGAAGGGAGCCGGACGCGAGCAGUAAGGGUGCAAGCAGCGGACAGGAGAAGGUCACCGGCAGAAUCAGGGAAGAAAUGUAACGGGCUAUAUUUGGUUAGAGCUUUAUAGGCAAGGGUUAGUAUUUUGAAUUGACACCUGUAGGACACAGGAAGCCAGUGUAAGGAUCGACAGAGGGGGUAUGUUUGGGAGGAGCGACGGGUGAGAGAGAUCAGCCUGGUGGCAGCAUUAAUUACCGAUUGUUGCAGAGCAGUUUGGCUUUUGGGGAACCACAGGCAACUGCAUAACAUAAUUGGUUUUCUGUAGUAACAAUGCCUUUCACAGUGCAAUGGAGAUCAUUUUGACAAUGACAAAAGGCUACUGAACUUGAUGAACGGAUCACCAAUAUAAUAUGGCACCAAAAAUAAGGUAGUCCAAAUUCACUCAUUUUCACAACAUAAUUAGAAUAGAGAUGGCCAUCGAUUCACAGCUCCAAUCUUACCCCGUAUUCCGUAGUAGAGUUUGCUGAUUAGCAGUUCCUCAAUUGAAAUCUCUGGAAAACUUGCUAUUUAGCAAACUCUUACUCUGCUAAAACGAUCUAGCCUACUGCUGGGAUUUUCAUGUUCUUCAUUUCCACCCGACAGUAUAGAAGCACGAGAUCUAACAGCAUAACUGAUGUAUUCCAAUGCAGCAUAUUUUUUUCAAUGAGCAACAUUUUUAGGGUAAUUUUUAACUUUUAAAAUAGUAAAAACUCAUGGCUCCUUUACAACCUUUUCAGUAAAUAGCAGUCGCAAAUGGUCGCUAUUAAGAACAGACAACAUUUAGUGGCAGUUGCUACUUAUCGACAGGUUUCGAGCCUUGUUGCUAUUUGCCAGCUUGCUGACAAUAAUAUCUGCUCAAAAGUUGCUGAUUGACCAGUUUUACUGGUAAAGCACAGAAGCACAUGCUGGGUAAAUUGUAACCACUGCAGCCACACCUUGCGAAUAAAGAAAACUCACCCUGAGCACGUGUGAUUGGCUUUAGCAGGAGAUAGCAACAGUGUAUACAAUGUAUUACAUUUAGAUUUUGUGCUUUGCCAGACACAAAAAUAUAUAUCUAGCAAGAUUAAUUUGUGCUAUGAGAAUUGUUACUUUAAAUGACACAUGCAUUUUACUUAUAUAAAGAAUUAUUAAUUUUUUUACGUAACUUGUCUGGUCUUUUCAUUUAAUUCUAUUUCUCUUUAAAAUUAGUUGAACAUGCUUUGAUAUGUACUUCAGAGUUUUAAUAUUGUGACAUACAGACAACAUGCAUUUUUCCUAAAGGAUCAGGCCAGACGUUGGAAAUAAUUUGGGAUUAGCAGAAACCGUUAAUGAAUAGCGAUAUGAUUGGAAACCCUAAAUAGGGUUACCAGCUCCCAUAGAAAGUAAUGGGCACUGUUAUUUGCUUAGUGAGUGGCAAUCAGUGUCAACCAGCUAUCGCCUUGUCACUACUUAAUAAAGCUACUAAUAGUAGUUAUAGGCACUUUAGUGAUAGCAGAUGGCAGGUAAAAAUAAGUGAUUAGAAUUGAUACAAAAAUCUGUGUCUAUAAACUAUGUCAGUGUUUUUAUCCAGAUAGUUGUUUCAAUUAAGGACACAUUUAUCUGCCUCAUCAAAGAAUGCCACCAUGACGUUUCUCUACUGACAUCUUACGAUUUCCGAUCUUACUUAUUUGUUUAAUCUUCCUUCCACUCAUUAACACACAAACCUGUAUCUAAUUUGUUUUAAUUUAAAGGGACACUACAGGGUCAGGAACAUAAACAUGUAUUCCUGACCCAAUAGGGUUAAAACCACCAUCUAGCCCAAUGCCCCCUCAUGCCUCCCUAAAUAUAGUAAAAUCUUAUUUGUAUUCAAGUCUGGAGCUGCUUACAUUGUCCCGGUUUCCUUUAGACCUGCCCACUGCCUGCUGACAUCAGCAGAAGUGGUAGCCUGAUCCAAUCACAAGCUUCUCCAUAGGAUUGGCUGAGACUGACAAAGAGGCAGAUCAGGGGCAGAGCACAAAUACAGCCCUGGCCAAUCAGCAUCUCCUCAUAGAGAUGAAUUGAAUCAAUUAAUCUCUAUGGGGAAAGUUCAGUGUCUGCAUGUAGAGGGAGGAGACACUGAAUGUUUGGAUGCAUUUUAGGCAGCCAUGACCCAGGAAGGAUCUCUAACAACCAUCUGAGGAGUGGCCAGUGAAGUUAUCACUAGGCUGUAAUGUAAACACUGCUUUUUCUCUGAAAAGACAAGUGUUUACAGCAAAAAGCCUGAAGGUAAUGAUCCUACUCACCAGAACAAAUUCAAUAAGCUGUAGUUGUUCUGAUGACUAUAGUGUCCCUUUAAUAUGAGAAAGGUACAUUUCACUUUAACAAAAAUGUUACUGUUGAAUUUAUUUUUUAACACAUCAUUUUUUUUAUUUACUGAACAGUAAAUGGCUGUAGAUUGAGGUUCUCUGAAUUCACGGAAAGCUGCUUCAAACCUAUCUGUUCAUCAAGAAAGAAGUUAACUUAUUUUCACAAAGUUAAGCUAUAUAAACAAGUUUAAACAACCAAGUCACAAAAAUUUAAUUUAGUUAUUGGUAUCUCAAGUCUUUUUUCUUUCUUCAUUUUAUAAAUACCGACCUUGCAAAGUAAAGCAUGCAUAAUGAGUUGCAUUCAUCAUAACGAUUUAAGUACAACUUGAAAUGUAAUCUACUGUUGGGUUUAAAUAUAUUAUACGUAGCUCGAGUACUGGAGACAUAAAUACAUUAAAUGUACAAGCUAACAAAAUAGUGUAAACGAAAUGUGGGACAAUAAACACUAGGUCAUGUUGUCAAUAUACAAAAAUAUUUACAAAAAAUAAGUUUUUACAACGAGGCCCUGUUUGGAUGUAUGGAAUCUGUAUAUGGACAUAACACAAAUGCAUUUCACAAAAAAAACAGGACAAGACAAAAUGUAAACAACACAGUAACAGCUGCUGCAAUUAACCUAACCUACAAAUCCUGGAUUGCAAAACUUAAGGCAUUUAGAAUUGUAUUCUAUGGAUUUAAAGCAAUAACUGAAAAAAAGCCAUGUGCAAAACUAGAUUAAUUUAGCAAUUAACAGUAAAAUGAUCAUCUACUCUGUUCUUCACCAUGGAAACCAACAACUCCACAGUAAAAAACAGUGUGCUUCACCAAAAACAAAUAUGGCUGUGGUGCUUCUGGGAACUUUACAACAGUUGGCUGAGUUUUGCUCAAGGGCCCGACUCCUGUUCCUGCUGAACUGAGCCAGUAUAUAAGACAGAACUGAUAUCAGUUCAGUAGGCACAAGAGGACUGGUCCAUCGCGUGUGUAAUACAACUGCAGGUCCAGCCUCAACAAGUAACGAACCACAGGCCAAAUGAUAACCACCAUGAAGUUAUGUAAAUUUACACCAUACUUGGAACAUGUUUUUUUCACAUUAAUAAUGUGCACAGGCUGUAUAGGUUCCAAAAGGAACAAUUAUAAAUUAUAUAAAACUAUGCAUUAGUGUCAAAUAAAGCAUUCAUGAAAGCUUUGAUCACAAGGUACAUAUUGCCAGAGAAUUAAAAUGAGCAGACUCUUCUGUUUGGUUAGGUUCCAGGAAGCAUUCCAUUUCGUCCUCUCUUCAGGUGCAGAACUUAGCCACUGUGAACAAAGAGGAAAUUAAUCACUGUUCACCAAUCAGCUAAGCUCUGCACCUUGGUAGAGAGGUCAACGUUAUUGGUCUUGUUAAGCGGUCAAUUGGAGGGUCUUUUUUUCCGAUGUUUCAUGGUCAGACAUCUUCAGGUCUUCUGUACAUAUUUAUAGUUUCCAUUCAGCCAGUUAUUCCAGAAGAGCGGCCAAGGACAUGGUUGUGUG